CACGAAAGUGGUUGAGCUAAUUCUUUUAAGGAGCUGUGUAGCAUAACAGAAUAUGAAAAGAUAAUUAGGGGUGAUAGGCCUUUCAAAUUCACAGAUAUCUUGAUUUCUUUGAAAUGUAUAAGUACAUUUACAAACUUGAAGCGAUAAGACUAUAAGUGUUGAUUAAAUUUAAUAAAUUGACUGUGUAUGUAUAAUAGCACACACAUUAUGACCUUAAUAUAUUUAUUAAAGUAUUAUUAUUUAUAAAAGAAUGUAUAUUAAUAAGUUAUUAUAUUAAUAAUGUUAAUAUUAGUAAUUAAUAGGUAUUUGUAGUGAACUUGGCACUAAGUUUUCAACUGUUUACCAAAAACAUAGCUGUGUGAGUCAUACAUAGUGUUUUCUGCUCAAUGAGAUAUUAAAUAGCCGCAGUACCCUGACUGUGCAAAGGUAGCGUAAUCAUUUGUCUUUUAAUUGGAGUCGUGUAUGAAAGAAUAUAUGGGGACUUUCUUUACCACAAAUAUUAAAUAAACUUACUUAGUGAGUGUAAAUUCUCACUUUUAAAUAAUAGACGAGAAGACCCUAGAAAUUUAAUCAUGAUGUUUUUGUUGGGGCAACAUAGUAGCAUUUAAUCUACAUUAUGUAUAUGAAAUAAAUUUGGAAAAGUAAAUUACUCUAGGGAUAACAGCAUAAUACAAAAGUGUUUGUGACCUCGAUGUUGGAUUAGGGAGUUAAAGUUUAGAA
rnacentral:rRNA from 1 species